rnacentral:ncRNA from 1 species
UCCACGGAACGACGCGUUGAUCCGGGCAGUCACCGCCGACUCGCACACCCGAGCCGGCGAUAUCGGUCGCCAGACCGUCCGGGGAGCCAGUGGCGAGACCGCCGUUCGCACGA